rnacentral:rRNA from 1 species
UACGUAGGGGGCGAGCGUUGUCCGGAUUUAUUGGGCGUAAAGAGCUCGUAGGCGGCUUGGCAAGUCGGGUGUGAAACCUCCAGGCUCAACCUGGAGACGCCACUCGAUACUGCCAUGGCUAGAGUCCGGUAGGGGACCACGGAAUUCCUGGUGUAGCGGUGAAAUGCGCAGAUAUCAGGAGGAACACCGGCGGCGAAGGCGGUGGUCUGGGCCGGCACUGACGCUGAGGAGCGAAAGCGUGGGUAGCAAACAGG